rnacentral:rRNA from 1 species
CCUACGGGAGGCAGCAGUGGGGAAUAUUGGGCAAUGGGCGCAAGCCUGACCCAGCAACGCCGCGUGAAGGAAGAAGGCCCUCGGGUUGUAAACUUCCUUUAUCAGGGACGAAACAAAUGACGGUACCUGAUGAAUAAGCCACGGCUAACUACGUGCCUGCAGCCGCGGUAAUACGUAGGUGGCAAGCGUUAUCCGGAUUUACUGGGUGUAAAGGGCGUGUAGGCGGGUCUGCAAGUCAGUAGUGAAAUCUCAGGGGUCAACCAUGGAACUGCAUUUGAAACUGGAGAUCUUGAGUGAGGGAGAGGCAGGCGGAAUGCCGUGGGUAGCGGUGAAAUGCGUAGAGAUACGGAGGAACACCAGUGGCGAAGGCGGCCUGCUGGACAUUAACUGACGCUGAGGCGCGAAAGCGUGGGGAGCAAACAGGAUUAGAUACCCGGGUAGUC